AACCGAGAAUAAGAAGUAACCUUAAUUAUUGAGUAUCUACCAUUCCAGGCCCAGUGUUAACCGCUUUCACAUAGACCUGAAGCCAAAACUGGUCCUUUUUCUUGUUGAGGCACCUCACCUUACCUCACCACUAGGAACCCGAAAAAUAAAACCCGGCCUACAUUUCUCAUAGAAAGGAUCCCAAGGAAAACACCCCAGGAACAAAAAGAGAGUUUACCAUCACCUCCAGGUCCACGGUCACCAGAACCCAUGAUUCUGGAAGCCUAGACCUUUGUUCUUCUUUUAGAUGUAAACCGAAAAUACAAUUCUAAGCCCCCCGUGUCGCCAACCAUCGGAAUGGACUUUCUCCCAGGCCAGGGCACUCUAAAAUUCUGGUUCAGUCCAUGACGGGAAGUGGGGGUCCGACUAGCCUCAUACCUCUCCGGUUAAGGUCAACACAGACCUUCGGUCUGCUUCACAUUACUGGUUUGCUGCGUUGCUGUUCCCCAGACCAAGCAGAAGCAUCUGUAACGUCUGAAGGAAGAACCCAGGCCCGCAGCUCACCCACUACAGAACCUAGGGACCUUAUCCUUCUUCCAGGUAUUUUUGGUGAGUCCAUAGAACAGACACCGUUCCAGGAACUUGAGAUACAUCAGUGAACAGAAUUAAGGUCCUUGACUUCGUUCAGCUUAUGUUCUACCCAGAGAAUUCAGACAAAAACAAUACUCU
rnacentral:lncRNA from 1 species